rnacentral:rRNA from 1 species
AUGCAUGUCUAAGUAUAAGCAAUUAUNCGGCGAAACUGCGAAUGGCUCAUUAUAUAAGUUAUCGUUUAUUUGAUAGUACCUCGCUACUUGGAUAACUGUGGUAAUUCUAGAGCUAAUACAUGCUAAAAAUCCCGACUCCGGAAGGGAUGUAUUUAUUAGAUCAAAAACCAAUGCCCCCCGGGCUCUCUGGUGAUUCAUGAUAACUGCUCGAAUCGCAUGGCCUUGCGCCGGCGAUGGUUCAUUCAAAUUUCUUCCCUAUCAACUUUCGAUGUUUGGGUAGUGGCCAAACAUGGUUGCAACGGGUAACGGAGGGUUAGGGCUCGACCCCGGAGAAGGAGCCUGAGAGACGGCUACUACAUCCAAGGAAGGCAGCAGGCGCGCAAAUUACCCAAUCCCGACCCGGGGAGGUAGUGACAAUAAAUACUGAUACAGGGCUCUUUUGGGUCUUGUAAUCGGAAUGAGUACAAUUUAAAUCCCUUAACGAGGAACAANNNNNNNNNNNNNNNNNNNNNNNNNNNNNNNNNNNNUCCAGCUCCAAUAGCGUAUAUUAAAGUUGUUGUGGUUAAAAAGCUCGUAGUUGAACCUUGGGCCUGGCUGGCCGGUCCGCCUCACCGCGUGUACUGGUCCGGCCGGGCCUUUCCCUCUGCGGAGCCCCAUGCCCUUCGCUGGGCGUGGCGGGGAAGCAGGACGUUUACUUUGAAAAAAUUAGAGUGCUCCAGGCAGGCCUAUGCUCGAAUACAUUAGCAUGGAAUAAUGAAAUAGGACGCGCGGUUCUAUUUUGUUGGUUUCUGGGACCGCCGUAAUGAUUAAUAGGGACAGUCGGGGGCAUCAGUAUUCAAUUGUCAGAGGUGAAAUUCUUGGAUUUAUUGAAGACUAACUACUGCGAAAGCAUUUGCCAAGGAUGUUUUCAUUAAUCAGGAACGAAAGUUAGGGGAUCGAAGACGAUCAGAUACC